rnacentral:tRNA from 2 species
GGGCGAGUGGCGGAAUUGGCAGACGCGCUAGACUUAGGAUCUAGUGUAGCAAUACGUGGAGGUUCAAGUCCUCUCUCGCCCACCA